CCCCGACGACCCCCCCCCCCCCCCCCACGGAAGCGACCCCCAAAGAGAACGGCGCCGUCUCAGAGAAGGUGCGGAGGUCCACCCUGAACCCCAACGCCAAGGAGUUCAACCCCUGCAGGGGGGCGGCCAAAGUUGGGGCCCCCCCCUCCCCCCACAACCGCCCCCCCC